rnacentral:tRNA from 2 species
CGCGGGGUGGAGCAGCUCGGUAGCUCGCUGGGCUCAUAACCCAGAGGUCGCAGGUUCAAAUCAUGUCCCCGCUA